rnacentral:sRNA from 1 species
GACAUCAACGAAAACAGGUAAAUAAAAA